AGUUUAGUAGUCUAGGGUAAAGGAUUUUAAAUUGCAAGUUUAAAGGUAAGUGGUUUUCUAAACUU
rnacentral:tRNA from 1 species